rnacentral:rRNA from 1 species
GAAAUAGAACCUGAAACCGUGCGCCUACAACAAGUUCGAGCCCGUUAAUGGGUGAGAGCGUGCCUUUUGUAGAAUGAACCGGCGAGUUACGUUAUGAUGCGAGGUUAAGUUGAAGAGACGGAGCCGUAGGGAAACCGAGUCUGAAUAGGGCGCCUUAGUAUCAUGACGUAGACCCGAAACCAUGUGACCUACCCAUGAGCAGGUUGAAGGUGCGGUAAGACGCACUGGAGGACCGAACCAGGGCACGUUGAAAAGUGCUUGGAUGACUUGUGGGUAGCGGAGAAAUUCCAAACGAACUUGGAGAUAGCUGGUUCUCUCCGAAAUAGCUUUAGGGCUAGCGUCGACAUUAGAGAUUCUUGGAGGUAGAGCACUGUUUGGGUGAGGGGUCCAUCCCGGAUUACCAAUCUCAGAUAAACUCCGAAUGCCAAUGAAUUAUGGUCGGCAGUCAGACUGCGAGUGCUAAGAUCCGUAGUCGAAAGGGAAACAGCCCAGACCACCAGCUAAGGUCCCAAAAUAAUUGUUAAGUGGAAAAGGAUGUGGGGUUGCACAGACAACUAGGAUGUUAGCUUAGAAGCAGCUAUUCAUUCAAAGAGUGCGUAAUAGCUCACUAGUCGAGUGACCCUGCGCCGAAAAUGUACCGGGGCUAAAACAAUUUACCGAAGCUGUGGAUACCUUUAUAGGUAUGGUAGGAGAGCGUUCUAUGUGUGAUGAAGGUAUACCGUGAGGAGUGCUGGAACGCAUAGAAGUGAGAAUGCCGGUAUGAGUAGCGAAAGACAGGUGAGAAUCCUGUCCACCGUAAGACUAAGGUUUCCAGGGGAAGGCUCGUCCGCCCUGGGUUAGUCGGGACCUAAGGAGAGACCGAAAGGUGUAUCCGAUGGACAACAGGUUGAUAUUCCUGUACUAGAGUAUGUAGUGAUGGAGGGACGCAGUAGGCUAACUAAAGCAGACGAUUGGAAGAGUCUGUCUAAGCAGUGAGGUGUGAAUUGAGUCAAAUGCUUAAUUCUAUAACAUUGAGCUGUGAUGGGGAGCGAAGUUUAGUAGCGAAGUUAGUGACGUCACACUGCCAAGAAAAGCUUCUAGCGUUUAAACAUACUCUACCCGUACCGCAAACCGACACAGGUAGUCGAGGCGAGUAGCCUCAGGUGAGCGAGAGAACUCUCGUUAAGGAACUCGGCAAAAUGACCCCGUAACUUCGGGAGAAGGGGUGCUGACUUAAAGUCAGCCGCAGUGAAUAGGCCCAAGCAACUGUUUAUCAAAAACACAGCUCUCUGCUAAAUCGUAAGAUGAUGUAUAGGGGGUGACGCCUGCCCGGUGCUGGAAGGUUAAGAGGAGUGCUUAGCGUAAGCGAAGGUAUGAAUUGAAGCCCCAGUAAACGGCGGCCGUAACUAUAACGGUCCUAAGGUAGCGAAAUUCCUUGUCGGGUAAGUUCCGACCCGCACGAAAGGCGUAAUGAUUUGGGCACUGUCUCAACGAGAGACUCGGUGAAAUUUUAGUACCUGUGAAGAUGCAGGUUACCCGCGACAGGACGGAAAGACCCCAUGGAGCUUUACUGCAGUUUGAUAUUGAGUGUCUGUACCACAUGUACAGGAUAGGUAGGAGUCUAAGAGAUCGGGACGCCAGUUUCGAAGGAGACGCUGUUGGGAUACUACCCUUGUGUUAUGGCCACUCUAACCCAGAUAGGUGAUCCCUAUCGGAGACAGUGUCUGACGGGCAGUUUGACUGGGGCGGUCGCCUCCUAAAAGGUAACGGAGGCGCCCAAAGGUUCCCUCAGAAUGGUUGGAAAUCAUUCGCAGAGUGUAAAGGUAUAAGGGAGCUUGACUGCGAGAGCUACAACUCGAGCAGGGACGAAAGUCGGGCUUAGUGAUCCGGUGGUUCCGUAUGGAAGGGCCAUCGCUCAACGGAUAAAAGCUACCCUGGGGAUAACAGGCUUAUCUCCCCCAAGAGUUCACAUCGACGGGGAGGUUUGGCACCUCGAUGUCGGCUCGUCGCAUCCUGGGGCUGUAGUCGGUCCCAAGGGUUGGGCUGUUCGCCCAUUAAAGCGGCACGCGAGCUGGGUUCAGAACGUCGUGAGACAGUUCGGUCCCUAUCCGUCGCGGGCGUAGGAAAUUUGAGAGGAUCUGCUCCUAGUACGAGAGGACCAGAGUGGACUUACCGCUGGUGUACCAGUUGUCUUGCCAAAGGCAUCGCUGGGUAGCUAUGUAGGGAAGGGAUAAACGCUGAAAGCAUCUAAGUGUGAAACCCACCUCAAGAUGAGAUUUCCCAUGAUUAUAUAUCAGUAAGAGCCCUGAGAGAUGAUCAGGUAGAUAGAUUAGAAGUGGAAGUGUGGCGACACAUGUAGCGGACUAAUACUAAUAGCUCGAGGACUUAUCCAA